GUUGAGCGUGAAGGAUAACGUUGCGUCAGCAACGGCCCGAAGGGCGAGGCGAAGCCGAGUCAUCCUGCACGACCCACCA
rnacentral:sRNA from 1 species